GAUGAAGAACGUAGCGAAAUGCGAUAAGUAGUGUGAAUUGCAGAAUUCAGUGAAUCAUCGAAUCUUUGAACGCACAUUGCGCCCCUUGGUAUUCCAUGGGGCAUGCCUGUUCGAGCGUCAUUUGUACCUUCAAGCUCUGCUUGGUGUUGGGUGUUUGUCUCGCCUCUGCGUGUAGACUCGCCUUAAAACAAUUGGCAGCCGGUGUAUUGAUUUCGGAGCGCAGUACAUCUCGCGCUUUGCACUCAUAACGACGACGUCCAAAAGUACAUUUUUACACUCUUGACCUCGGAUCAGGUAGGGAUACCCGCUGAACUUAAGCAUAUCAAUAAGCGGAGGA
rnacentral:misc_RNA from 1 species